GGCUGGCUCUGCAACCGCGCAUGCGCGGUCUAAACGCCAGUGGCGCCGAGAGUGAUGCUUCUGAUGGGCUUAGGUAUAAUAUAAUUUCAAGCAAUGCAAGAGCAAUUUCUCCCUUCAUUGGAUAUCAAGCUCAAGAUGGUACAGCAAAAAGAAAUAGCUUUUACCGCUGAUAUGAGAAAUUUAAGAGAGAGACAAGUGUGAGCAAACAAAAGCUGUCACAUCAAAUACUGUGGGGGGAAAAAAUCUAGAAAAAAAUGCCAGAAAUGCUCAAGUCUAAAUAAAGUCAUUUAUUUGUUAUUUUAACCCCUUCACCGUCAGCGUUGCUGGCAGGCUAGUUAAUUCUCCGCAGGUGGGACUGACUGAAGGCAGCUCUCUUGUGCUUAUAAAAAAAAAUCACUGUAUUGUGGCAUGUUUCUCUUCGCUCUCUGAAAUCGUGAGGGGUUUCCAAACAGAAACAGGAUGGUACUGUUGCUCCUCUUGGGUAUCAUUUCUUCAGAGAAUUCAAUCUCCUCCCGUUUCCACCACAUUAAGCAAAGAAUCUAGACCACGAGGUCUCAAAGGGCAGCAGCCACACGUGCUGUACGCUUCUGGUAGACGGUAGGUAUUUGGUAGAAUGUGGUGGCAAUUAUUUCUCAAAUUUUGUAUUCUAAAUGUGCAACUCAAAUACAAGAUGCUUUCUGUAUGGGGGGGGGGGGGACUCUAUGAAGUCCCCCCAACCCAGAAGGAAAAGUGGAGAAAACGCAGACUGGAUAGACGUGGGGUUCACCCCUUGCUCCUUUUUGGCCACGUUCAUAAGCCUGUAUCCUCAGUCAAGAUUAAGGGCUUUCAUUAAAAUUGAGAAAGAUAAAGUUGGAAGAAUACUGCUACUGAAACUCUGCAAACAGAGACUAUUUCCAAUUAACUAGGGACUCCCUUUGUGCACUACAGUGGACCCAGGGAGGAGUAAGUCAUAGCUGCCGUCCUCAAAAAAUCUACCCCACUUGAAAAAGAAAAAUAUAUAUAUAAAGUUAUAUUUAAAACAAUGUAAAAUAAAAUUAAGAUAUUCACAUUUAAAAAUCUACCUUCCUCCACAUCCCACUCACUCCCUUGCCCAACAUGGUAAAGUUUCUGUCUCCAGUAAAUUCCUUUGGCACUGGUUUCCAGGCCCCCCAACAGAGAGACACAGACCCAGCUCCUACCAUGGCCAGACCUAGCCCCUCAGCGCAGCACACAAAACCCCCCAAAGUCACCAGGUCCCCCCACCUGCAGCCCUGCCCCAAGGCCUCCCCUGCACCAAACACCAUCCUGGUUUCCCACUCUUGCAGCCCACGCCCACCGCACAGUCCAGGGCUCACCCGUCUCCUGACCAGGUGCACCCGUACACCAUCCUGGUUUCCCACUCUUGCAGCCCACGCCCACCCCACAGCCCAGGGCUCACCCGUCUCCUGACCAGGCGUGCCCGUACUAGUCCAGCCCCUGGUGGUUUCCGCAUCUGACCGCCCUGCUAGUGACAUCGACACCUUGCAGGCAGGAACCCAGCUACUUUGCCUCAGAAGCCCCGGGGCCUCAUACUGGGCGUCAGGCAGGGCAGAUCCUCAAAAUGGGGCUAGUGAGUGAUGCUUCAUCUAUCCAUCAAAGGCGUUUAACACGUGAUGUUAGCUUUCAAGGGGCUUUCCCGGUGGCUCUGCAGUAAAGAAUGUGCCUGCAGUGAAAGAGAGGGCGGGUUCGAUCCCUGGGUCAGGAAGAUCUCCUGGACGAGGGCCUGGCAACCCACUCCAGAAUUCUUGCCUGGAGAAUUCCGUGGACAGAGGAGCCUGGUGGGCGAGAGUCCAUGGGGUCACAACUGGAGUCCAAGAGUCAGACACGACUGAGCGACUGGAGCAUGCAAGCACAGGAGCUUUCAAAG
ensembl:lncRNA